GGAGCUGACUGAUAGCAUUAAAACCAGUAGACACUAAGGAAUUUGAUUUUUUGCGGCAAGACUAGAAGGGUUAUGUUUCAAUAGGGUCACAGCAUGGAUGAAUUGUCCGCAGGUAACCUUCACCCUGAGAACAGAAAGAUGGCGAUAUAGUUACAGCCCAUUGCAUAAGCAGUUCUCCCUUGUUAUCCCAACAGGAGGACAGACUGUACCCAUACAGAUACCCAAAAUGAGGAAACAGUAACAGUGGACCAUAACCUGACCUCAAAAUGAUAGAGGUUGAAGUAAGCAAGAUUCCGAGGCAAAAGACUGUGCUAUAAUUGUUUGACUUGUAAAAGGGUUAAAAAGCCAGUCCAAAAACGAGUUCAUUGUCAGCAAUCAAGAGGAACCUAGGAGAUGUAGCAAGGUCUUGAUACCAGCCAUCACUUGUCCUCCAUGCUCAUACAAGGGAUCUUGACCAGACCACAGAGAUCUUUGCCAGACCAGAGAUACACACAUCCUGGUGCCUUGAUAACCUGUCUCUGUUGAAAUCUGUGGGAAUUUACAAUUGAUUUUAACUCAGCAAAAUGUACCAUCUCCUGACAUUGGAAAACGACUGACUGAAGAGCUUAAGGCAAGGACAGUUUGCCUCAAACUAAGAGAUAUCGAUCUUGAUUUUGUGAUGCAAAUCUUGAACAAUUCAGUCGAAUGUUUUCAACUUCCUCUGUCAUGGGUCAAUGGCAAAGUCUCAAUUGACUUCUACAAAUGUAGGCACAGAUGUGAGAGGUCCAUUUCAUGAUGCAUGUGUAAACAGCUGAAAAUGUUUUCAACUGGAAAGCGGGACUUCAAGGAGCUGAGACUCUUAAUUUUGAAAUCUGCAACAUAUUAAGGGAGCUGUAGCAGAUUCAGUAUCCAGGCAACGAUAAAAUGGAGUCAGCCUAUAAAGUAGUUUGGGAGCUGAACAAAGUGUAACUAGCUCACUUAGAAGUAAUACAAGUACUAUUUUUUUUGUAAUUUUAUGUUUAGAACCUUCCACAUUUCCUCAGAUUCAUUUAACCCAGAAUAAUUAUAGCUACACAUG